rnacentral:rRNA from 1 species
AGGACAAACGCUGGCGGCGUGCAUAAAACAUGCAAGUCGAACGGACUUCAGUCCGCAAGGACUGAAGUGAGUGGCGAACGGCUGAGUAACACGUAGGUGACCUGCCCCGAAGUUUGGGAUAACACCUCGAAAGAGGUGCUAAUACCGGAUGUGACCACCGAUUCAUUUCGGUGCUUAAAGUCGCAAGACGCUUUGGGAGGGGCCUGCGGCGGAUUAGCUAGUUGGUGUGGUAACGCACACCAAGGCUUCGAUCCGUAGCUGGUCUGAGAGGAUGGCCAGCCAGACUGGGACU